CCUACGGGUGGCAGCAGUGGGGAAUGUUGGACAAUGGGCGCAAGCCUGAUCCAGCUAUUCCGCGUGUGGGAUGACGGCCCUCGGGUUGUAAAACACGUUAGUAGAGAACGAAAAGGAGCAAUCGAAGAAAUAGCUCUGCUGACGGUACUCUAAGAAGAAGCAACGGCUAACUACGUGCCAGCAGCCGCGGUCAUACGUAUGGUGCGAGCGAUAAUCGGAAUUACUGGGCGGAAAGGGUGUGCAGGCGGCUGAGUACGACAGAGGUGAAAUCCCCGGGCUUACCCUGGUAACCGCAUAUGUGACUUCUUGGCUAGAGUGCGUCAGAGGGAGGUGCCAUUCCACGUGUAG
rnacentral:rRNA from 1 species